GCCUGGUUAGCUCAGUCGGUGGAGCAUAAGUCUCUGGAGUUGCUCAAACUGAGAGGUAGGUGACAAUAAUAAAAGGUUGCAUGUCAGCCUGGCUAGAUCAGUCGGUAGAGCAUGAGACUCUUUGGUCAUGGGUUCGAGCCCCACGUUGGGCG